ACAAUUCAAAAAAUUAUUCAAUAAUUAUGUCAAUACAACAAAACAAUAAAUUCAAAAAAACUCUAGAAUAACAAUCAAAAUAAAUGGAAAAAAUUAAACACAAAUCAUGCAGUAAUAGAGUAAAAUUAAUAAUUAUUCCAACAUAUUCAAUUACUAAUUCUAUGGUAAAUUCAACAUUAACAAUAAAUAUUCAACAAAUUAACUAAUAAUAAUUAUGCCAAUACAACAAUAAAAAAUAUUCAAUAAAUUAAAAAAAAAAACUAUAGACUUUAGCAAUGAAUUAUGCUUACUUUAAUAAUGUGUUGAAUUCAAUACUUUAUCUACAUUACAAAAAAUACACCAAAACAAAAAACAUAACAAAAAAAAAUAGCAAAAAAAAAAACCCUUAAAGUAAAAUGAAAUAGAAAAAACACAUACCUUUUAAACUGAUGAAGAUUCACAAGAAAACUUGCUAGAGAUUGCAGAUGAAAGCUUUGAAGAAUGGAGAGGAAAAGAAUCGGUGAAAAACUGAG
rnacentral:lncRNA from 1 species